rnacentral:pre_miRNA from 1 species
UGUAUAUAUACAUGUAUGUGUGUGUGUGUGUAUGCAUAUAUAUACACACACAUACAUAUGUUUAUAUACA